rnacentral:rRNA from 1 species
GCAGGCUGCAACCCGCCCUGUAUGAAGUUGGAAUCGCUAGUAAUCGCGGAUCAGCAUGCCGCGGUGAAUACGUUCCCGGGCCUUGUACACACCGCCCGUCACACCAUGAGAGUCGGGAACACCCGAAGUCCGUAGUCUAACUUUCACGAGAGGACGCGGCCGAAGGUGGGUUCGAUAAUUGGGGUGAAGUCGUAACAAGGUAUC